rnacentral:tRNA from 1 species
GUAGGCGUGGCACGAGCGGUCUAAGGCGCUGGUUUUAGACACCAGUCAUUUCGAUGGCGUGGGUUCGAAUCCCACCGCUGCCA